UGUUCGCUCUCUGCGUAAGGGAUAGAAACGGCAUCCUUUUUUGUUUUUCUGCGCUGGCUCCUGAAAGGCUCAGCCUAAGAUUGCUUUGGCAAAAACAAAAAAGAUAUAGAGGAUAGCCCGACCCGCU
rnacentral:sRNA from 1 species